GUAGUCAUAUGCUUGUCUCAAAGAUUAAGCCAUGCAUGUCUAAGUAUAAACGACUUUGUACUGUGAAACUGCGAAUGGCUCAUUAAAUCAGUUAUAGUUUAUUUGAUAGUACCUUACUACAUGGAUAACCGUGGUAAUUCUAGAGCUAAUACAUGCUAAAAACCUCGACUUCGGAAGGGGUGUAUUUAUUAGAUAAAAAACCAAUGCCCUUCGGGGCUUUUUGGUGAUUCAUGAUAACUUUACGGAUCGCAUAGCCUUGCGCUGGCGACGGUUCAUUCAAAUUUCUGCCCUAUCAACUUUCGAUGGUAAGGUACUGGCUUACCAUGGUUUCAACGGGUAACGGGGAAU
rnacentral:rRNA from 1 species